rnacentral:pre_miRNA from 1 species
CUGACUUUUUUAGGGAGUAGAAGGGUGGGGAGCAUGAACAAUGUUUCUCACUCCCUACCCCUCCACUCCCCAAAAAAGUCAG